UACAGAGGGUGCGAGCGUUAAUCGGAAUUACUGGGCGUAAAGGGUGUGUAGGUGGUUGUAUAAGUUAGAUGUGAAAUCCCCGGGCUCAACCUGGGAACUGCGUUUAAGACUGUAUAACUAGAGUACUGUAGAGGAUAGUGGAAUUUCCAGUGUAGCGGUGAAAUGCGUAGAUAUUGGAAGGAACACCAGUGGCGAAGGCGACUAUCUGGACAGAUACUGACACUGAGACACGAAAGCGUGGGGAGCAAACAGG
rnacentral:rRNA from 1 species